GGACCCGCACAAGUAGUGGAGCAUGUGGUUUAAUUCGAAGAUACGCGCAGAACCUUACCAACACUUGACAUGUUCGUCGCGACUUUAAGAGAUUAGAGUUUUCGGUUCGGCCGGACGAAACACAGGUGCUGCAUGGCUGUCGUCAGCUCGUGUCGUGAGAUGUUGGGUUAAGUCCCGCAACGAGCGCAACCCUCACUUUUAGUUGCCAUCAUUAAGUUGGGCACUCUGAAAGAACUGCCAGUGAUAAGCUGGAGGAAGGUGGGGAUGACGUCAAGUCCUCAUGGCCCCUUACGUGUUGGGCUACACACGUGCUACAAUGGUAUCUACAACAGGAAGCAAGACUGCGAAGUU
rnacentral:rRNA from 1 species